UGGAAAUGAUUGAAGUGUUAAAUAAUCAAAGUCGUUUUCAUAGUUUUAUUUGUGAUCAUUAUUGUUUGUCACUAUAAAAUAAAAACUUUUGACAUAAUUAUUUUUUCUUUAUAAUGGAGAAAAUUUUAAAAUUGCUAUGAAUAUUAUUCAUGAUAGUAAAUUGAUUUUGGUAGAAUUAAAUAUCAGUAUUAAAUCGUAUUAGACAUCAUUUAUCUCUAUAACUUUUUGAUUUACUCUAUUUUGUCCAUGACAAUUUUGAAUUUGGUUGGUAGCUUUGAUUAUUACAAAAAAAAAAAAAAUUAACCGCCACAAGUUUACUUCAGAACAAAUUUCUUUCUAUACUCACAACAAUCCGCAAGUACUUUCAUUUAAAAUGGCAGAUAAGGAACUUCAGGAAGAAUUAGAAAUGUUACGAAAGACGCGACGUGAUUUACAAGAAUAUUAUUAUCUUUUAAGGAUAUUAAGAAAUGAUAUAGAAAAAAUGAUAGGCAACUUUUCAUUUACAUCUGAUAUUUGUGAGACACAAAAAGACACUACAGCUCAAGAUAUUAAGAAAGAUAAAAAAAUUCCUUAAUAGCAUCAUAAAUUGUAUUAAAAGUAUUCAAAUAUGGUAAAUCAAUUAUAUAUUCUUAUUAAUUUUUCGGGAAGAUAUAGUUAUAUUGAUCUU